AAUUUUCCAGAAGAUUCUCCAGCCGGGACAACAAGACGCUGAUGAACGGGCCUGUUGCAUCAUGGGAAAACUGCAGGAGGGAAGGAGCAACAGGAAGGAGACGCUGGAAGAGGAGGAGCAGUGUUUCUGCUGAAGGGAGGAACGCUGCCUCCUGCUCAGAUCCAGACCUGAAGACGAGCUGCAGCAUGACGUCCUCACAGAAGAGACCGAUCAGAGUCCUGAACAGAGCCAGAGACACGGUGCCCAGCUGAGGGGGGAAGGGGAACAUACUCAAUCCCUAUCUUUCCUUAUUCAGAGAGCACAUUCAAAACUACUUCAGUUCACCAAGGUGCUGGACAGGGAACACACACACUAUAGGAUAACACUAUAGGAGUAACAUAAUACAACAAUAAGUCAAAACAAGUUAAAAAGCACAAUAACUAGAAAACAUAUCAAAUAAAAACAUUUAGAAAUGUCAAAAUGUAUUAAAGACUGAGACAACAGCAUGGAGG